rnacentral:rRNA from 1 species
UGGGGAAUUUUGGACAAUGGGCGAAAGCCUGAUCCAGCAAUGCCGCGUGUGUGAAGAAGGCCUUCGGGUUGUAAAGCACUUUUGUCCGGAAAGAAAUCCUUGGCUCUAAUACAGUCGGGGGAUGACGGUACCGGAAGAAUAAGCACCGGCUAACUACGUGCCAGCAGCCGCGGUAAUACGUAGGGUGCAAGACGUAAUCGGAAUUACUGGGCGUAAAGCGUGCGCAGGCGGUUUGCUAAGACCGAUGUGAAAUCCCCGGGCUCAACCUGGGAACUGCAUUGGUGACUGGCAGGCUAGAGUAUGGCAGAGGGGGGUAGAAUUCCACGUGUAGCAGUGAAAUGCGUAGAGAUGUGGAGGAAUACCGAUGGCGAAGGCAGCCCCCUGGGCCAAUACUGACGCUCAUGCACGAAAGCGUGGGGAGCAAAACAGGAUUAGAUACCCUGGUAGUCCACGCCCUAAAACGAUGUCAACUAGUUGUUGGGGAUUCAUUUCCUUAGUAACGUAGCUAACGCGUGAAGUUGACCGCCUGGGGAGUACGGUCGCAAGAUUAAAACUCAAAUGAAUUGACGGGGUCAUAGCUGUUUCCU